UCUAGAAUAACCAAUAGCAAACACAGAAAAGGUCAGACAAAUGAAAAACCAAACAUGUCAGACAAAAGCAUACCUUUUGUUUCAAUUUCACUCCUAGAUUAACUGAGAAGUACAUUAUUUGGCAAGCUUGGAAUCUUCUGGACUUGUAUUUUGUUCUUUGAUAACUUUUAGAGCUUUGCACCAGCCAGUGGUAAAGAAAGAAGCGAAGGCAUCAACUGCGAGGCAAGAGUGGUGCAGAAGAGGUGCAGAGGAGCAAAGAGAAAGGCACACUGGGCAAAUGGCUGUCCCGGUCGUCAGGUCUGCGGACAUGUAAGAAAAGCAUGGCCGGCACCUUUGGUGUCCUCGCCAGCUUUGCAAAUUGGAGAGAAGGAGCUUCCGUUUGCCUUUGGGACCAGGGCUGCCCCAUAACUCGGGGCCCAGCCAGUGCCCUAGUGUCCACUUUGUGGUCCAGGCAGGGGCUUGAGCCCCCUAUAAGCAGGGGUGCAGCCUGUCUGGCUGCUGCUUUGCCUGCCCAGCUCUGUUUGCCCAGGGUGCCCGCCUCUGAGCCCAGCUCCAGCACCAGCUGGACCUCUUGUACGUGUCCUUCAGUGGCAGCCGGUGGCGAAGAAAGAAGAGGCAUCAUGUGGAACUGUGAGGCAAGAGUGAUGAAGUAAAGGUCUGAAAUGAAAGGUGCUUCUACUCCUUUUUCAAUAUUGCGGUAGUUUGAAAUGAAGUAGUCUGAUUAAAUAAAUCCUGUAAAUAUGUAGUAAGUUUAUAAGAC
rnacentral:lncRNA from 1 species